rnacentral:rRNA from 1 species
AUUGAACGCUGGCGGCAUGCCUUACACAUGCAAGUCGAACGGUAACGCGGGGCAACCUGGCGACGAGUGGCGAACGGGUGAGUAAUGCAUCGGAACGUGCCCAGUAGUGGGGGAUAACUGCUCGAAAGAGCAGCUAAUACCGCAUACGACCUGAGGGUGAAAGCGGGGGAUCGCAAGACCUCGCGCUAUUGGAGCGGCCGAUGUCAGAUUAGGUAGUUGGUGGGGUAAAGGCCCACCAAGCCAACGAUCUGUAGCUGGUCUGAGAGGACGACCAGCCACACUGGGACUGAGACACGGCCCAGACUCCUACGAGAGGCAGCAGUGGGGAAUUUUGGACAAUGGGCGCAAGCCUGAUCCAGCAAUGCCGCGUGCAGGAAGAAGGCCUUCGGGUGGUAAGCUGCUUUUGUUCUGUUCGAAACGGUCCGGGUUAAUACCCGGGGCUAAGGACGGUACCGUAAGAAUAAGCACCGGCUAACUACGUGCCAGCCGCCGCGGUAACAC